CCUAAAAAUAAUGACCUGUGGCAUCACAACCUGGUACAAGAGAACUACCUAAUGGGCAAUUCUGAAGUCUAGGCUGUGGCUGAGCUCAUGCUGGGAAAGACAGAGGAAUGAAAGGCCUCUAUAAAAUGAAUUUUAGCUGUGCUUUGCACCAAGCAUCCAGAAGAGUCAUAAAGCUGAGCUUAAAAUUUUUGUGUGAAGACAGUAUUGGUCUGAAGUUACCAGCCAGGGAAGGCUAUUGAGUAUUGGUGAAGCACUUGGAGCACAGAAAGAAUGGGAUGUUUUACAGUCCUGGAUUAAAUUCACAGUUAAAUGUCUCAGGUAAUUUACCUGAAGUGUUUACCACAUCACUCAAGAGCAUUCUGUUGUCUGCUAGAUUUCAUAAGCAAGGAGUUUUCUUUUUUAUUUAUUUGAGCUGCUUGCUUUUUCUGAACAAAUAAAUGACCAAAUAAAAACCAAAUCUGAAAACCUUC